CCUGACUGCUAUCGGAUUGAUACUAAGCCAUGCGAGUCAUUGUAGUAAUACAAGGCAGACGGCUCAGUAACGCGUAGUCAACCUAACCUAUGGACGGGAAUAACCUCGGGAAACUGAGAAUAAUGCCCGAUAGAACAUUAUGCCUGGAACGGUUUAUGUUCCAAACGAUUUAUCGCCAUAGGAUGGGACUGCGGCCUAUCAGUUUGUUGGUGAGGUAAUGGCCCACCAAGACUAUUACAGGUACGGGCUCUGAGAGGAGUAGCCCGGAGAUGGGUACUGAGACACGGACCCAGGCCCUAUGGGGCGCAGCAGGCGAGAAAACUUUGCAAUGUGCGAAAGCACGACAAGGUUAAUCCGAGUGGUUUCUGCUAAAGGAACCUUUUGUCAGUCCUAAAAACACUAACGAAUAAGGGGUGGGCAAGUUCUGGUGUCAGCCGCCGCGGUAAAACCAGCACCUCAAGUGGUMAGGAUGAUUAUUGGGCCUAAAGCAUCCGUAGCCGGCUCUGUAAGUUUUCGKUUAAAUCUGUACGCUCAACGUACAGGCUGCCGGAAAUACUGCACAGCUAGGGAGUGGGAGAGGUAGACGGUACUCGGUAGGAAGGGGUAAAAUCCUUUGAUCUAUUGAUGACCACCUGUGGCGAAGGCGGUCUACCAGAACACGUCCGACGGUGAGGGAUGAAAGCUGGGGGAGCAAACCGGAUUAGAUACCCGGGUAGUCCCAGCUGUAAACUAUGCAAACUCAGUGAUGCAUUGGCUUAUGGCCAAUGCAGUGCUGCAGGAAGCCGUUAAGUUUGCCGCCUGGGAAGUACGUACGCAAGUAUGAAACUUAAAGGAUUGUCGGGGGAGCACAMAGGGUGAGCCUGCGGUUC
rnacentral:rRNA from 1 species